rnacentral:lncRNA from 10 species
CCAGGCUCCUCCCUGCUCCAAAGGGCACGAACUUCUGUGUCUCCACCCCAGUGCGCAUUUCUCCUAGUGCGCAGGCUCGUUGGAGGUUUUCCGGGGACCCUUUCCAACCUGGCUGUCUCAAAGGGAACCAGAUUAUGCAAGGCUUUGUGUUCCAGCUUAGGCUAAACCAAGAACAACUUUAUCCUAAGGUCAAGAGGAAAUAUUUGAUAGGUUCUAAAGAAGGGAGGUUUUCUACCAGGUGAACUACGUGGUCAUGGAAGCACUGUUGAUGGUGUGGCACUACUGCCUGUUCUUCAAAGAAAAAUUCAAACCCCUAUUGCCGGCUUUGAAAAUGGAAGAAGAAUGCCCUGAUUCAAGGAAUGUAGUGGCCUCUAGCAUUUGGCAAGGAAGAAGGGAAGGAACACACCCUCACAGGCUCUUCCCUGGCUGCAUUCAUGCACUGUGUCCCGCUUCUCAGUGGAACCAGCUAUCAGCACCAUGGACAGAACCCGGGAGAUUGGGUCCUCAGAGCAAGUAAAAUGAUUCAGGAGUGUCUGGCCAAGGCACUAACUACAGAGAUUUUUAUUUCAUGUGAAUAAACAGUUUUCUGUUUGACUUCAAGGCCAGGAUCCCGUUUUCCUUUUGCAGUUCUUCUGAGGAAGUUAAUGUUAAUGAGCACAAGAUGAAACUUAGCUUCAACAUGAUCUGUACUUUACACAUCAAAAUAAAGAAGAUUACCAACACAGUCACAGACACAGAUGCCCUUUAUUAUGCUGAGAAAUUUUCUGUGUCGGGGAUUGCCAAGACCACUGGCAGGCUCAGUGAGAAGGACUCAAAGACUCAUAAGCUGUUACAUUCAGAGCUGUGAUUUAUUAAAGCCAAAGGAAACAGAUUAAAACUAAUUAAAGAAAAAAUGCAUGGGCAAUGUCCAGAAGAAACCAGAUGCAAGCUUCCAGUUGUCUUUUCCUAGUAGUAUCAUAUGAACAUGCUUAAUUCUCCCAGCAAUAAUUUAUGCCAGCAUGUGCAGAGUGUCACCAACAAGGGAAGCUCAACCAAGCCUUGCUGCCUAAGAUUUCUAAUGAAGUGUCACUCUUGUUGGCAUGUAGCAACUACAUAACAAAGUCUCGGCUACUCAAGCUCCAGCCCCUCAGAGAAAAAGAGAAAUUCACUGUAAAUCACAUUUGUUAACAUAAACUAUCUCAUCAAACUGGUACUGCACGGCCCAAGGCCACAGACAUACAGAAACAGGUGUUCAAUAUGAAGCACAUUUGUUAGCCAAGGGCCAGUCCUGAAGACAGCUUCUUCUUGGGAAUGUGCAGUAUUUGACUCAGUUUAUCCCUUCCCACACGGUUCCUCUCACUCUGGCUCUUGGCAUGGGUUCUCUUACAGCAGAGUAAUCAGAUUUGAGGAGCAUCUGCACUUGAUAGAGCAUUUAUAUGCCUGAUAUAACAAUUGCAUCAGCAUGAAUAUGCCUAACAUUUGAAGGAGUCAGUUUGGAGUAGAGACAGACUUAAGGAAAUAAUCCAUUCUCUAAAGGUAUUACAUACAUUUUCUUAUUUUCAUACUAAUUUGAUUAUGCACUGUUCUCUUGAUAUACCAUUAUUGUACCUUGUGAUAAGCUUGUACAGGAUGAUUUAUUAAAUAAAUUACUUUUGCACCAACUUCUAUUUGUAAUAGAAUACAAAUUAGUUGAUGGUAGUUAAAUCCCAUUCUUCCUUGGGUCAUUCACUUUCCAUUGUGUUACAUCCUGAG